UCUCAGUUCGGAUCGGAGUCUGCAACCCGACUCCGUGAAGCUGGAUUCGCUAGUAAUCGCGCAUCAGCCAUGGCGCGGUGAAUACGUUCCCGGGCCUUGUACACACCGCCCGUCAAGCCAUGGGAGCCGGGGGUGCUUGAAGUGCGUCGCCGCAAGGCGCGCCCUAGAGCAAAACCGGUGACUGGGGCUAAGUCGUAACAAGGUACC
rnacentral:rRNA from 1 species